AACGAACGCUGGCGGCAUGCCUAACACAUGCAAGUCGAACGAAGCCUUCGGGCUUAGUGGCGCACGGGUGCGUAACGCGUGGGAAUCUGCCCUUGGGUUCGGAAUAACAGUUAGAAAUGACUGCUAAUACCGGAUGAUGACGAAAGUCCAAAGAUUUAUCGCCCAAGGAUGAGCCCGCGUAGGAUUAGGUAGUUGGUGGGGUAAAGGCUCACCAAGCCGACGAUCCUUAGCUGGUCUGAGAGGAUGAUCAGCCACACUGGGACUGAGACACGGCCCAGACUCCUACGGGAGGCAGCAGUGGGGAAUAUUGGACAAUGGGCGAAAGCCUGAUCCAGCGAUGCCGCGUGAGUGAUGAAGGCCUUAGGGUCGUAAAGCUCUUUUACCAGGGAUGAUAAUGAUAGUACCUGGAGAAUAAGCUCCGGCUAACUCCGUGCCAGCCGCCGCCGUAAUAC
rnacentral:rRNA from 1 species